GAAAUGCGAUAAUUAAUGUGAAUUGCAGAAUUCAGUGAAUCAUCGAGUCUUUGAACGCACAUUGCGCCCCCUGGUAUUCCGGGGGGCAUGCCUGUCCGAGCGUCAUUGCUGCCCUCAAGCACGGCUUGUGUGUUGUGCUUCCGUCCCUGGCAACGGGGACGGGCCCAAAAGGCAGUGGCGGCACCAUGUCUGGUCCUCGAGCGUAUGGGGCUUUGUCACCCGCUCCCGUAGGUCCAGCUGGCAGCUAGCCUCGCAACCAAUCUUUUUAACCAGGUUGACCUCGGAUCAGGUAGGGAUACCCGCUGAACUUAAGC
rnacentral:misc_RNA from 1 species